GAUGAACGCUGGCGGCGUGCCUAAUACAUGCAAGUCGAACGCUGGAAAUCUAGCUUGCUAGAUUGAAGGAGUGGCGAACGGGUGAGUAAUACAUAAGCAACCUACCCACGAAGACUGGGAUAAUCUCUGGAAACGGGGACAAAUACCGGAUAGGUAAUCGGAAGGCAUCUUCUGAUUAUUAAAGGUUAAAAACACUGGUGGAUGGGCUUAUGGCGCAUUAGUUAGUUGGUGAGGUAACGGCCCACCAAGACGAUGAUGCGUAGCCGGCCUGAGAGGGUGAACGGCCACAUUGGGACUGAGACACGGCCCAGACUCCUACGGGAGGCAGCAGUAGGGAAUUUUCGGCAAUGGGGGAAACCCUGACCGAGCAACGCCGCGUGAGUGAUGACGGCCUUCGGGUUGUAAAGCUCUGUUGUAAGGGAAGAACGGUAGAUAGAGAAUAUCUAAAUGACGGUACCUUACCAGAAAGCCACGGCUAACUACGUG
rnacentral:rRNA from 1 species